rnacentral:rRNA from 1 species
UAGGGAAUCUUCCACAAUGGACGCAAGUCUGAUGGAGCAACGCCGCGUGAGUGAAGAAGGUCUUCGGAUCGUAAAGCUCUGUUGUUGGUGAAGAAGGAUAGAGGCAGUAACUGGUCUUUAUUUGACGGUAAUCAACCAGAAAGUCACGGCUAACUACGUGCCAGCAGCCGCGGUAAUACGUAGGUGGCAAGCGUUGUCCGGAUUUAUUGGGCGUAAAGCGAGCGCAGGCGGAAUGAUAAGUCUGAUGUGAAAGCCCACGGCUCAACCGUGGAACUGCAUCGGAAACUGUCAUUCUUGAGUGCAGAAGAGGAGAGUGGAACUCCAUGUGUAGCGGUGGAAUGCGUAGAUAUAUGGAAGAACACCAGUGGCGAAGGCGGCUCUCUGGUCUGCAACUGACGCUGAGGCUCGAAAGCAUGGGUAGCGAACAGGAUUAGAUACCCUGGUAGUCCAUGCCGUAAACGAUGAGCGCUAGGUGUUGGGGACUUUCCGGUCCUCAGUGCCGCAGCAAAAC